UACGAAGGGUGCAAGCGUUACUCGGAAUUACUGGGCGUAAAGCGUGCGUAGGUGGUUUGUUAAGUCUGAUGUGAAAUCUCCAGGCUCAACCUGGAGGGGUCAUUCGAUACUGCCGUGACUAGAGUUCGGUAGGGGAGUGUGGAAUUCCUGGUGGAGCGGUGAAAUGCGCAGAUAUCAGGAGGAACACCGGUGGCGAAGGCGGGUCUCUGGGCCGAUACUGACGCUGAGGAGCGAAAGCGUGGGGAGCAAACAGG
rnacentral:rRNA from 1 species